CUUGGCUUCUCUGGCCCUAAGUUUACAUGGUGCAACCGGCAAGAACAAGACGGUCAUGUUAAGGUUCGGCUUGACAGAGCCGUAGCUAAUGGUGCAUUCUCUCGGCUGUUUGAUGAUUGUUGUGUGGAGAAUAUAACAACUUCUGACCAUUAUGUCGUACUAAUUAAUCUAUCCCAUGUGGAUUCUAUGAGGCAUUCUAUGCCAAUUCAGCAGGGCUUCAAGUACGAGGCUAUGUGGUUGAGGGCGGCGGACUACAAGGAUACUUUGGAAAAGGCUUGGGCUGGUGGGAGAAAUGACUCCUUGUCUUUGCAAUCCACGUGGACAAACCUAAACCGGGUGGCCAGCUGCCUUUGAACCUGGAGCAAGGAAUCGUUUGGCUGUAUCCUUAAGCAGAUUAACAAGAUGGAGCGCAGGUUGAGAACUAUCCCUUCUUCUCCUAUAUCUGCAGAUUCACUAGCUGAGGAAAGGAAGAUCGAAGGAUUGCUCUUUGAGCUUUUUGAGCGAGAGGAAAUUUUGGAACGUCAACGCUCGAGGGUGGACUGGCUCCAGGAGGGGGAUAGAAACACCAAGUUUUUUCAUGCACGAGCAGCAGCACGACGACGAGCAAACAAAAUUUCCUCCUUGCUGCGGGAUGAUGGCUCGAGUUGUGACUCUCAAGGUGAAAUUAAAGGUAUGGUUCUGGAAUUCUAUGAUAAGUUGUUCACUUCUGAACCCUGUGACAUGAUUGAUAUAGUUCUUGAUUCUAUUCCUCGGAAAGUGUCUUCGGAGAUGAAUUCUGAUUUAUGA
rnacentral:rRNA from 1 species